rnacentral:misc_RNA from 1 species
GAUGAAGAACGCAGCGAAAUGCGAUAAGUAAUGUGAAUUGCAGAAUUCAGUGAAUCAUCGAAUCUUUGAACGCACAUUGCGCCCGCCAGUAUUCUGGCGGGCAUGCCUGUUCGAGCGUCAUUACAACCCUCAGGCCCCCGGGCCUGGCGUUGGGGAUCGGCGGAGCCCCCCGUGGGCACACGCCGUCCCCCAAAUACAGUGGCGGUCCCGCCGCAGCUUCCAUCGCGUAGUAGCUAACACCUCGCGACUGGAGAGCGGCGCGGCCACGCCGUAAAACACCCAACUCUUCUGAAGUUGACCUCGAAUCAGGUAGGAAUACCCGCUGAACUUAAGCAUAUCAAUAAGCGCAGGA